rnacentral:rRNA from 1 species
AGUGAACGCUGGCGGUAGGCCUAACACAUGCAAGUCGAACGGCAGCACAGGAGAGCUUGCUCUCUGGGUGGCGAGUGGCGGACGGGUGAGGAAUACAUCGGAAUCUACCCUGUCGUGGGGGAUAACGUAGGGAAACUUACGCUAAUACCGCAUACGACCUACGGGUGAAAGCAGGGGAUCUUCGGACCUUGCGCGAUUGAAUGAGCCGAUGUCGGAUUAGCUAGUUGGCGGGGUAAAGGCCCACCAAGGCGACGAUCCGUAGCUGGUCUGAGAGGAUGAGCAGCCACACUGGAACUGAGACACGGGCCAGACUCCUACGGGAGGCAGCAGUGGGGAAUAUUGGACAAUGGGCGCAAGCCUGAUCCAGCCAUACCGCGUGGGUGAAGAAGGGCUUCGGGUUGUAAAGCCCUUUUGUUGGGAAAGAAAUCCAGCUGGCUAAUACCCGGUUGGGAUGACGGUACCCAAAGAAUAAGCACCGGCUAACUUCGUGCCAGCAGCCGCCGUAA